rnacentral:rRNA from 1 species
AGGGGGAUAACUACUGGAAACGGUAGCUAAUACCGCAUGAUGUCGCAAGACCAAAGUGGGGGACCUUCGGGCCUCACGCCAUCGGAUGUGCCCAGAUGGGAUUAGCUAGUAGGUGGGGUAAUGGCUCACCUAGGCGACGAUCCCUAGCUGGUCUGAGAGGAUGACCAGCCACACUGGAACUGAGACACGGUCCANACUCCUACGGGAGGCAGCAGUGGGGAAUAUUGCACAAUGGGCGCAAGCCUGAUGCANCCAUGCCGCGUGUGUGAAGAAGGCCUUAGGGUUGUAAAGCACUUUCAGCGAGGAGGAAGGCGUUGCUGUUAAUAGCAGCAGCGAUUGACGUUACUCGCAGAAGAAGCACCGGCUAACUCCGUGCCAGCAGCCGCGGUAAUACGGAGGGUGCAAGCGUUAAUCGGAAUUACUGGGCGUAAAGCGCACGCAGGCGGUUUGUUAAGUCAGAUGUGAAAUCCCCGAGCUUAACUUGGGAACUGCAUUUGAAACUGGCAAGCUAGAGUCUUGUAGAGGGGGGUAGAAUUCCAGGUGUAGCGGUGAAAUGCGUA